rnacentral:rRNA from 1 species
GAUGAACGCUGGCGGCGUGCCUAAUACAUGCAAGUCGAGCGAACGGACGAGAAGCUUGCUUCUCUGAUGUUAGCGGCGGACGGGUGAGUAACACGUGGAUAACCUACCUAUAAGACUGGGAUAACUUCGGGAAACCGGAGCUAAUACCGGAUGAUAUUUUGAACCGCAUGGUUCAAAAGUGAAAGACGGUCUUGCUGUCACUUAUAGAUGGAUCCGCGCUGCAUUAGCUAGUUGGUAAGGUAACGGCUUACCAAGGCAACGAUGCAUAGCCGACCUGAGAGGGUGAUCGGCCACACUGGAACUGAGACACGGUCCAGACUCCUCCGGGAGGCAGCAGUAGGGAAUCUUCCGCAAUGGGCGAAAGCCUGACGGAGCAACGCCGCGUGAGUGAUGAAGGUCUUCGGAUCGUAAAACUCUGUUAUUAGGGAAGAACAUAUGUGUAAGUAACUGUGCACAUCUUGACGGUACCUAAUCAGAAAGCCACGGCUAACUACGU